rnacentral:rRNA from 1 species
GGCGUGAGUACCCGCUGAACUUAAGCAUAU